CCCUUAGAUGUCCGGGGCCGCACGCGCGCUACACUGAAUGAAUCAGCGAGUGUAUGUCCUAGGCCGAAAGGUCCGGGUAACCCGUUGAACCUCAUUCGUGAUUGGGAUAGGGACUUGCAAUUGUUUCCCUUGAACGAGGAAUUCCCAGUAAGCGCAAGUCAUCAGCUUGCGUUGAUUACGUCCCUGCCCUUUGUACACACCGCCCGUCGCUACUACCGAUUGAACGGUUUAGUGAGGGCCUCGGAUUGGUCUCGGCCCGCUCUUUACCGGGCGGCGCCGUUGGUCGAGAAGACGCUCGAACUUGAUCGUUUAGAGGGAGUAAAAGUCGUAACA
rnacentral:rRNA from 1 species